rnacentral:rRNA from 1 species
UAGGGAAUCUUCGGCAAUGGGGGCAACCCUGACCGAGCAACGCCGCGUGAGUGAAGAAGGUUUUCGGAUCGUAAAGCUCUGUUGUAAGUCAAGAACGAGUGUGAGAGUGGAAAGUUCACACUGUGACGGUAGCUUACCAGAAAGGGACGGCUAACUACGUGCCUGCAGCCGCGGUAAUACGUAGGUCCCGAGCGUUGUCCGGAUUUAUUGGGCGUAAAGCGAGCGCAGGCGGUUAGAUAAGUCUGAAGUUAAAGGCUGUGGCUUAACCAUAGUUCGCUUUGGAAACUGUCUAACUUGAGUGCAAAAGGGGAGAGUGGAAUUCCAUGUGUAGCGGUGAAAUGCGUAGAUAUAUGGAGGAACACCGGUGGCGAAAGCGGCUCUCUGGCCUGUAACUGACGCUGAGGCUCGAAAGCGUGGGGAGCAAACAGGAUUAGAUACCCUGGUAGUCCACGCCGUAAACGAUGAGUGCUAGGUGUUAGACCCUUUCCGGGGUUCAGUGCCGCAGCUAACGCAUUAAGCACUCCGCCUGGGGAGUACGACCGCAAGGUUG